UCUGGAGUGUCUUUGCAAACCUCCCUCGGCUUUGUUGUUUCUCGUUUGCGGGUUUACAAUAAGUUCUCCAUCAAUACUUGAUCCGGACUCUCCGAUUCCUCAUGCGUUUAGCUAGUUGAGGUGAAAGAUAAUUUGUUUAUGGAUUCUACUACACGAGCAACACGACACCAUGUGACAUCCGCCCAGGUGUGGCCGACCACUGAUUGGUCCAUCGAUCAGCGGGGCGGGGCUGCGUCAGGCCAUCCUGGCGGCUUAUGACUUUGCAGACACAAGUACGCACAACGGACCUGGCUGGGUCGUUUUCUCCAAGAGCUACCACCAAAAGAGGAUGGAUUCUGUGUUCACACUCCACGGUGUGCGCCCAGGCCUCGAGAGUGAGAGGCGCGCAGCGCAGCAGGAGCUGUUUAUUGUGAACGGGCCUGGUCAACGGCAGCCUGCUGACUUCUGGCUCCAACUGUGGACUCCUGUAUCGACUCACCAGUUGCGGUGGAUCGGCUCAGUGAAGACACACACUCCCACCUCUGAGGGAAUGUCCCACAGCAGCCUCUGUGGGUGCGGGAGCGAGCGGUCCACCUCGCCCUUACAGUGGCCGUCCUCUGUGUAGCCCAGCUGGAAGGCAUCCGUGGCCAGGGUGUACUGGAGGGAG